rnacentral:rRNA from 1 species
GAUGAACGCUAGCGACAGGCUUAACACAUGCAAGUCGAGGGGUAGCAGGGAUAAAGCUUGCUUUAUUUGCUGACGACCGGCGCACGGGUGAGUAACGCGUAUGCAACCUACCUAUCAGUAAGGGAUAGCCCAUUGAAAGAUGGAUUAAUACCUUAUAAAGCAGGGAUCCCGCAUGGGAAUAUUUGCUAAAGAUUUAUUGCUGAUAGAUGGGCAUGCGUUCCAUUAGUUAGUUGGUGAGGUAACGGCUCACCAAGACAUCGAUGGAUAGGGGUUCUGAGAGGCAGGUCCCCCACACUGGUAGUGGGACACGGACCAGACUCCUAGGGGAGGCAGCAGUGGGGAAUAUUGGUAAAUGGACGGAAGUCUGAACCAGCCAUGCCGCGUGCAGGAUGACGGCUCUAUGAGUUGUAAACUGCUUUUGUGUGGGAAUAAAAAAGGGAACGUGUUCCCUAUUGCAUGUACCACUAUGAAUAAGCAUCGGCUAACUCCGUGCCAGCCGCCGCAGUAACAC